CAGUAGCCGCGGUAAUACGAAGGGGGCUAGCGUUGCUCGGAAUGACUGGGCGUAAAGGGCGCGUAGGCGGUUUUGACAGUCAGAUGUGAAAUUCCUGGGCUUAACCUGGGGGCUGCAUUUGAGACGUCAAGACUAGAGUGUGAGAGAGGGUUGUGGAAUUCCCAGUGUAGAGGUGAAAUUCGUAGAUAUUGGGAAGAACACCGGUGGCGAAGGCGGCAACCUGGCUCAUUACUGACGCUGAGGCGCGAAAGCGUGGGGAGCAAACAGGAUUAGAUACCCCCGUAGUCCCUGUCUCUUAUAU
rnacentral:rRNA from 1 species